UAAACAAGAGUCGGUUUAGAUAUCUGAUUGUUACUCAGAAGGAACAUGUGUUGUGUUUGUUUAG
rnacentral:tRNA from 1 species